CCUACGGGAGGCAGCAGUGAGGAAUAUUGGUCAAUGGACGAGAGUCUGAACCAGCCAAGUAGCGUGAAGGAUGACUGCCCUAUGGGUUGUAAACUUCUUUUAUAUGGGACUAAAAUGUUCCACGUGUGGGAUUUUGUAUGUACCAUAUGAUUCAGGAUCGGCUAACUCCGUGCAAGCAGCAGCGGUAAUACGGAGGGUCCGAGCGUUAUCAGGAUUUAUUGGGUUUAAAGGGAGCGUAGGUGGGUUGUUAAGUCAGUUGUGAAAGUUUGCGGCUCAACCGUAAAAUUGCAGUUGAAACUGGCAGUCUAGAGUAUAGGAGAGGUAGGCGGAAUUCGUGGUGUAGCGGUGAAAUGCUUAGAGAUCACGAAGAACGCCGAUUGCGAAGGCAGCUCACUAGACUGCAACUGACACUGAGGCGCGAAAGUGUGGGGAUCAAACAGGAUUAGAUACCCCAGUAGUC
rnacentral:rRNA from 1 species